GACGAACGCUGGCGGCGUGCUUAACACAUGCAAGUCGAACGGAAAGGCCCUGCUUUUGUGGGGUGCUCGAGUGGCGAACGGGUGAGUAACACGUGAGUAACCUGCCCUUGACUUUGGGAUAACUUCAGGAAACUGGGGCUAAUACCGGAUAGGAGCUCCUGCUGCAUGGUGGGGGUUGGAAAGUUUCGGCGGUUGGGGAUGGACUCGCGGCUUAUCAGCUUGUUGGUGGGGUAGUGGCUUACCAAGGCUUUGACGGGUAGCCGGCCUGAGAGGGUGACCGGCCACAUUGGGACUGAGAUACGGCCCAGACUCCUACGGGAGGCAGCAGUGGGAAAUAUUGCACAAUGGGCGGAAGCCUGAUGCAGCAACGCCGCGUGCGGGAUGACGGCCUUCGGGUUGUAAACCGCUUUCGCCUGUGACGAAGCGUGAUUGACGGUAAUGGGUAAAGAAGCACCGGCUAACUACGUG
rnacentral:rRNA from 1 species